ACGGAAGGCAGCAGUGGGGGAUAUUGGGCAAUGGGCGCAAGCCUGACCCAGCAACGCCGCGUGAGGGAAGAAGGUUUUCGGAUUGUAAACCUCUGUCCUAAGGGAAGAAGUAAGUGACGGUACCUUAGGAGGAAGCCCCGGCUAACUACGUGCCAGCAGCCGCGGUAAUACGUAGGGGGCAAGCGUUGUCCGGAAUGACUGGGCGUAAAGGGCGUGUAGGCGGCCUGUUAAGUUAGAAGUGAAAAUCCAGAUUUCAAGUUUGGAACUGCUUUUAAUACUGAUGGGCUUGAGUGCAGAAGAGGUAAGUGGAAUUCCCAGUGUAGCGGUGAAAUGCGUAGAGAUUGGGAGGAACACCAGUGGCGAAGGCGACUUACUGGGCUUUAACUGACGCUGAGGCGCGAAAGCGUGGGGAGCGAACAGGAUUAGAUACCCUGGUA
rnacentral:rRNA from 1 species